UAUCUCUCCGUACGGGGAAGGAUGAGAAGCUUCGACUAAGGUUCGAUUCGAGCGCAGCGAGAAAACGUUGCCGCAGGCAACGACCCGAAGG
rnacentral:sRNA from 1 species